rnacentral:rRNA from 1 species
AGAGUUUGAUCCUGGCUCAGAGCGAACGCUGGCGGCACGCCUAACACAUGCAAGUCGAGCGAGAAAGUGACUUCGGUCGCGAGUAAAGCGGCGAACGGGAGAGUACAACGUGGAUAAUCUACCCUAGGGUCUGGGACAACCCCGAGAAAUCGGGGCUAAUACCGGAUAAGACCACAGUAUCUGAGGAUACAGCGGUAAAAGAUUUAUCGCCUUUGGAUGAGUCCACGCCCCAUCAGGUAGUUGGUAAGGUAAAGGCUUACCAAGCCUAAGACGGGUAGCCGGCCUUAGCGGGCGAACGGCCACAUGGGGACUGAGACACGGCCCUGACUCCUACGGGAGGCAGCAGUGGGGAAUAUUGGGCAAUGGGCGAAAGCCUGACCCAGCGAUGCCGCGUGAGGGAUGAAGGCCUUCGGGUUGUAAACCUCUGUCAGGAGGGACGAUGGGACACUUGUGUCUUGACGGUACCUCCAGANGAAGCCCCGGCUAACUCCGUGCCAGCAGCCGCGGUAAUACGGAGGGGGCAAGCGUUGCUCGGAAUUACUGGGCGUAAAGGGUCCGCAGGCUGUCAGGCAAGUUGGUNGUGAAAGCUC